rnacentral:rRNA from 1 species
CCUACGGGUGGCAGCAGUGAGGAAUAUUGGUCAAUGGACGAGAGUCUGAACCAGCCAAGUAGCGUGAAGGAUGACUGCCCUAUGGGUUGUAAACUUCUUUUAUAUGGGAAUAAAACGUUCCACGUGUGGGAUUUUGUAUGUACCAUAUGAUUAAGGAUCGGCUAACUCCGGGCCAGCAGCCGCGGUAAUACGGAGGAUCCGAGCUUUAUCCGGAUUUAUUGGGUUUAAAGGGAGCGUAGGUGGAUUGUUAAGUCAGUUGUGAAAGUUUGCGGCUCAACCGUAAAAUUGCAGUUGAAACUGGCAGUCUUGAGUACAGUAGAGGUGGGCGGAAUUCGUGGUGUAGCGGUGAAAUGCUUAGAUAUCACGAAGAACUCCGAUUGCGAAGGCAGUUCACUGGACUGCAACUGACACUGAGGCUCGAAAGUGUGGGUAUCAAACAGGAUUAGAUACCCCAGUAGUC